rnacentral:tRNA from 1 species
GCGCCUGUAGCUCAGCGGAUAGAGUGUUUCUUUCCUAAGCAGAAACUCAUAGGUUCGACCCCUACUUGGCGUG